rnacentral:rRNA from 1 species
AGAGGUCUCAAGCGUUGUUCGGAAUCACUGGGCGUAAAGGGUGCGUAGGCGGCGGGGAAAGUCAGAUGUGAAAUCCGGAGGCUCAACCUCCGAAUUGCAUCCGAUACUCCCUCGCUAGAGAGUUGUAGGGGAGCUUGGAAUUCUCGGUGUAGCAGUGAAAUGCGUAGAUAUCGAGAAGAACGCUCGCAGCGAAGGCGAAGCUCUGGGCAACAUCUGACGCUGAUGCACGAAGGCUAGGGGAGCAAACGGGAUUAGAUACCCCGGUAGUCCUAGCUGUAAACGGUGCGCCGCUGGGUAUGGCGGGGUUCGACCCCUGCCGUGCCGGAGCUAACGCGUUAAGCGCGCCGCCUGGGAAGUACGGUCGCAAGAUUA